rnacentral:rRNA from 1 species
GAUGAACGCUGGCGGCGUGCUUAACACAUGCAAGUCGAGCGAAGCACUUUGGAAAGAUUCUUCGGAUGAUUUCCUUUGUGACUGAGCGGCGGACGGGUGAGUAACGCGUGGGUAACCUGCCUCAUACAGGGGGAUAACAGUUAGAAAUGACUGCUAAUACCGCAUAAGACCACGGUACCGCAUGGUACAGUGGUAAAAACUCCGGUGGUAUGAGAUGGACCCGCGUCUGAUUAGGUAGUUGGUGGGGUAACGGCCUACCAAGCCGACGAUCAGUAGCCGACCUGAGAGGGUGACCGGCCACAUUGGGACUGAGACACGGCCCAGACUCCUACGGGAGGCAGCAGUGGGGAAUAUUGCACAAUGGAGGAAACUCUGAUGCAGCGACGCCGCGUGAAGGAUGAAGUAUUUCGGUAUGUAAACUUCUAUCAGCAGGGAAGAAAAUGACGGUACCUGACGAAGAAGCCCCGGCUAACUACGUG